rnacentral:rRNA from 1 species
AGCUCCAAUAGCGUAUAUUAAAGUUGCUGCAGUUAAAAAGCUCGUAGUUGCAUUUCCGAGGCAAGGGAUUAGUCCGACCUUUGGUGGGUAUUUAAUCCUCUUGCCUCGUCCUUGAGUGGUGCUUCUUGGUAUUAAGUUAUCGAGGAGAUAGCCGCUCAUCGUUUACUGUGAGAAAAUUAGAGUGUUCAAAGCAGGCUUAUGCCGUUGAAUAUAUUAGCAUGGAAUAAUAAGAUAGGACCUCGGUACUAUUUUGUGGGUUUGAGAACCAAGGUAAUGAUGAAUAGGGACAGUUGGGGGUAUUCGUAUUCAGUUGUCAGAGGUGAAAUUCUUAGAUUGACGGAAGACGAACUACUGCGAAAGCAUUUACCAAGGAUGUUUUCA